rnacentral:snRNA from 1 species
GGAUGUGAGGGAGAUCUGGCUGUGACAUCUGUCACCUCAUUGAUCUCCAGGGUUGAUUCGGCCAAUUUGGCUGGCUAGGCGGGUGUUCCCUUCCUCCCUCAAUGCUCCCUGUGCGUCCUCCCAAAGCUGCGUGCUCGGUGGAAGAAGACGACCACCCCCGACAGAGGAGGACCGUUCCUUGGUCAAGGGUAUAAGAGUAGCUGCGCUCCCUUGCUAGAACCUCCAAACAAGCUCUCGAGAAAAAAUUUCUCAGAUAUUACUGAAGUCUCAAAUGAGAGAAUAGUAAAUUGUGGCAUUGUACACACAAGUCUCAUCUU